AACGACCCCCGAACGCUGUCCACUCAGCAGCAAGGCCCGCAGUGUUGGAUCAGCUUGCUUUGAGUGGACAUGGGGGACGCUGCCAGCAACAGUUCGUUAGACCAAAGUUACCGGAUGCAGCAGGAAGCUCGCUUAACGCAAGUGACAGCUCGCCUGACGCAGAUGACAACUCUCUUGACGCAGGCGACAGAUCACCUGUGGGAGGUGACAGAUCACCUGAUGCAGGUGGUAACUCGAAUGUCGAUGGUGGCAGAUGGCUCGACGCUGGGGACACCUCGCUUGAAGCGGGACGUAGCUCGCUUGACGCGGGAAACAAAUGGCUUGAUAAAGGUGGGGGAUCGCUUGGUGAAGGAAACCGAUGCCUUGAGGAGGGUGGCGGAUCGCUUGGUGCAGGAAACCGAUGCCUUGAGGCGAGUGACAGCUAGCAUGGCGUAGGAGAGAACUCCCAGAUUUAAUUUCAACCGCGUGUAAACCGUUGUUUACCGUAAACCGGUAAACAGCAUUUACCCGGGGCCCCACCAUCUUCCCUGGACUCCCACCAUCUUCCCUGGACUCCCACCAUCUUCCCUGGACUCCCAACAUCUACCCUGGACCCCCAACAUCUACCUUGGACCCGUCACCUUCCUCCUCUCAGCUAAGAUUACAGAUUCCCAAGGCUAGUGAGGCUACCAGACUGAUUCCCAAGGCUAGUGAGGCUACCAGACUGAUUCCCAAGGCUAGUGAGGCUACCAGACUGAUUCCCAAGGCUAGUGAGGCUACCAGACUGAUUCCCAAGGCUAGUGAGGCUACCAGACUGAUUCCCAAGGCUAGUGAGGCUACCAGACUGAUUCCCAAGGCUAGUGAGGCUACCAGACUGAUUCCCAAGGCUAGUGAGGCUAUACCAGUCAGAUUGAAAAGGCCAGUGAGGCUACCAGACGGAUCACCAAAGAAGUUCCAGGGAUCAAUGGCCCCGUGGCCUGAUCUUCCCCUCCCUAAGUCCAUAGACUAGGGUACGAUACGGUAUUCAGGUUUAGGUCUACCUUGAGCCAGGUGCUUGACCACUUUGUAUAAUCUUGAAGAGGCGUUUGGGACUGGAAAAAUGUUGUUUUUGUCCAUUUGUAUAUAGGCAAGAGUUUUGUUUAUUUAGUGUUAACAUCGUUCAAUUUUCUUAGACCAGUCUCUUGACUGGUCUAAGAAAUACUGGUUGACCAGUAUUUGAUGGUCACAUUAUCUUGAGGUGAGAGCCAACUAGUCAGCAGAUUGUGUACAUAAGUAUAUAUAUGAUGCCAAAUAAGAUGAACUACCUUUUAUAUUUUAAACGAAUAUGAACUUUUAUUGACAUUUUUGUUGCCCGAGAAGCUUCACUCAUUCCUGUCAAUGUGAUGAAUAUUGUGAUGUAAAUUUAAAUGUUUAUAUAAAUCUGAAGUUACAUAUUGUGUUCAGUGAUCUGAUAAGCAUAGAAUACCUGCCAAAUGUGAGCAUUGAUAUUCUGAAAUGUGAUGAAAUUUUUAAUGUUCUGUAUGUGAAGUUUUACACACAAUGGAGCAUAUUUAUAAUAUUGACUCAACGUAAACAGUUUUUUGGCAUUGAAUACAAAAUUCAAACACUCUCAGCCAGACGGUUAAGGGUCGGGUUAAAUAGCUUAAAUGUGUAGAAUAGUAAACCCCACAUUGAGUUAGGAAAAUACUAUUUGUCAUAUAUAGAUACUUUACACAAGAUUUCCCCAUUUUGCACCCGCA